rfam:Ectocarpus siliculosus strain Ec 32, whole genome shotgun sequence assembly, chromosome LG30
GCCGGAGUAGCUCAGUCGGUAGAGCGCAAGACUCUUAAUCUUGUGGUCGAGGGUUCGAGCCCCUCCUUCGGUG